rnacentral:rRNA from 1 species
UACGUAGGGUGCAAGCGUUGUUCGGAAUUACUGGGCGUAAAGCGCGCGUAGGCGGGCUCGUAUGUCAGUUGUGAAAUCCCCGGGCUCAACCUGGGAAUUGCAGCUGAAACUGCGGGUCUUGAGUGCCCGAGAGGAUGGGGGAAUUCCUGGUGUAGUAGUGAAAUACGUAGAUAUCAGGAGGAACACCUGAGGCGAAGGCGCCUGUCUGGUGGUGCACUGACGCUGAGGCGCGAAAGCGUGGGGAGCAAACAGG